rnacentral:rRNA from 1 species
AUUGAACGCUGGCGGCAGGCCUAACACAUGCAAGUCGAGCGGAGCGGCGGACGGGUGAGUAAUGCCUAUGUAUCUGCCUGGUCGUGGGGGAUAACGUCAGGAACAGGGCGCUCAUACCACAUACUCUCAGCUGAGCCUAGGUCGGAUUAGCUAGUUGGUGGGGUAAAGGCCUACCAAGGCGACGAUCCGUACCUGGUCUGAGAGGAUGAUCAGUCACACUGGAACUGAGACACGGUCCAGACUCCUACGGGAGGCAGCAGUGGGGAAUAGUGGACAAUGGGCGAAAGCCUGAUCCAGCCAUGCCGCGUGUGUGAAGAAGGUCUUCGGAUUGUAAAGCACUGUAAGUUGGGAGGCGGUACCAACAGAAUAAGCACCGGCUAACUUCGUGCCAGCAGCCGCGGUAAUUC